rnacentral:lncRNA from 1 species
UCCUUUUUAAAAAUAUAUGUAUUUUCCAUCAUUAUUUGGUUUAUGUGUUUUUACAUAUUGUUUUCUUUUGUGCAAUGCAAUAUCAUGCCACUAACCAUGGCCAGCCAGCUCACGCACUGACAAAGCCAGAGCUAGCAAGCUCACAUGCGACGCGGAGCUAGCUCACGCAUGGACGCAGCUGGAGCUAGCUAGCUCACGCGCUACGGCCAGCUGAAGCUAGCUACCUCGCGCGCACACGCACAGGACACACCACACCACACGUACUAUAGGGUAAAAGAAGUGACUGACCCAUUCACAAAUUCAGUCGACUGACUUAAAAUUAACCUAAUAGAUACUUAUAUUCUAUUAUUAUAUGAUACAAGCUAAAUGGAAGUUUAAGAUAAGUAGGAGUAGAUUGCAUGAAACGGUGUAGAUCAUGACAGUACAUGCAGUACAAAUUAGCAAGAAAAACAAAAUUACAACUGUGCCAUUGGGACAAAGAACCCCACACUAUGGACACCUAUACACACGCGUCACACAUGUAACACAACAGGUCACCACGUGGUCGACUGUUGGUCUUGUUCCAUCCACCACCAGUUCAUCGUCCUCAUCCCGUUCCUUUCCCCAUUCUACUCGUACCUAAGUGAGAAAGCACCUGGUGGAGGCGGACGGCGACAUUUCGGGCUCCAUCUUGGCGGCUGACGCCGCAGCUUGGCCGCAGGUGUUGCGGCUCCAUCUGCUUCUUGGUGGCCCGGCAGCUACUGCUGUAGCUUGGAGCCGCAGAACCGGCAAAUGGUGCCGCUGUUGCUCGUACCGGUGAUUUGGCUGUGCUGGCACUCCCUGAAGCCGGUAACUUUUCAUGGGAAGGGAUGCUCCAGGAAGACUAUGGUAGCCGCUAUUGCCGCUCAGGUAAGAACUAUCUCCUUGGUGUUUGAUGAAUCUGUAGAUUUUUUUUGUGAGCUCGUUGCUACUAUGCUAAUAGCCAAGUCUCGAGGGCAGUGUUGAUACUUAGCUGAGUGGUUCAACGCAGGAGCACUAAUCAUCUGAGUGAUACAUAGCGGCUGGUACUACUCCAAUCAUCCAGCUGGGUAUAUUGUAUAAGAUACUUAGUUGAGUGACCGCCUUUAGAUGUUUCAGAUGCUGAAGAGUAUUUUCUAAUCCAAUCAUCUGAGUUUACUAUGUUUUCUCUACAAGAGCAACCUGAAGCCAAAAGAACACAAAACUGUACAAACUAAAACAAAAACAUGUCCACAUGCCUAAUAACUUUGAAAGCUUGAGUCCUACUACAACAGUUCAAACAGUCAAUAGUCAGAAGAGGCUAAAUAAGAUACCGAUAUAAGGUAUUUAUACCUUUAAUCUGGGCAUGCAUAAUAGGAUUAAAGAAUUUAGAUAAGAUGCCAAGGGUUCUUCACUCUAUAUGGCAUUCACCAGAACACUAAAGCCAUGGUUGUUAUUGCAUAGCUCUAGACUAAAUAAUAAGAGCAUAACCAAAAGAUUUAUGCAUUAGUGCAUGAACAAAUAGAGAGAAAAAAUAUGCCUAUAAUAUCCCAUGCUAUAUGCACACCAAAUGAAGGCCAAACAGAAGAUCACUAAUAAGAAAAUAGAACUAUGUGAGUAUAAAUUUUCAGGAAAACAAUAGAAUGGUGAGAUUCAUUGUGUAAUAAUGAUUAUAAGCUCAGGUAUGUACAUUUGAACAAAUAGAAGAUUAAGAAAGGGGAACAUGCAACAAAAAAGCUUUCAAAAAGCAGUAGUAUUUUUACCUCUGCAACAAAGAAAGUACAAAAAUGUAUUAGUUGGUAUUUCUCCAGAUGGCGAAUUGCCUGGGAAAAAGGAUUAGUAGGUUUAAUAGGUGUUACUUUCUUGGGCAAGCACCAAAACUUUGCCAAAAAGUAAAAUAUAUUGGGCUCAUUGCACCUUUAUUUUCCCUGUACUUCUAGACUGUAUGAUGGCGGUGUAAGCUAGCCAGCAUCUUCAGAUUAGUCCAUCCAAAAAGCAUCCUAAAGGUAACAGUUGGAUUGAUUGUAUCAUCCCUGAAACGCCAUUAUCAAAAAUUCAGUUGCCGCUUAAUAGUAAAUAGAAGUGUACUGCUUGCUUAUCACGCUUACUUAGGACUCAUAGGCCUUAUCUAAUCCCUGUCCAAUGCAAACCAUCUAUCUAUGCGAAAUAGGCAAGAGGUAGGCAAAGAUGCUAUAUACCUAAGAGUAUAUGUCAAUCUAAACUAAAGUACUGCUCAUAAGAAAGCAAGCAUGAUAACACGUCGUUGCUUGCUCUAAUAAUAAAUCAGUUGUUGGAAAGGAGGAGGAGGCUAUUUUAUUUAUAAAGUUUAGUUUAGUGAUU